AGGCAGCCAUCUGGAAGAGUGAGACCCAGAUUCCAGUGAACACAGAGGCAGCGGACACAGCUGUUUCCCUCCCAGCAUAGGCAAGAAUGUAGGUGCCUCCUUUUCAGAGCAACAGCAGGCACCAUUCUGAUGCUGGUUCAUUCAAUGUAUAAAGAAGUGCUUCUUUUUUCCGUUCUACUGUAAAUACGGCAAAUGUAAAAUCAGGAUGGUACAUACUCUCUAACAUACUUCAAAAGAACACCUUUGACAUUCCAGAUAACUUGCAAAUGAUGAUGCAGGAAGAUCUUUUGCCUCUACAAAGAAAGAACAAAAGAGGGUGACAUGAAAGAGGGAUCAAUAAACAUAUGGGGGUAAAUUGCUCUCAGCCAGCAUCCCACCAUUUGCUUGUUCUCAGGUUGGAGACCACGGAACGAGUGGGAGAGGUACAGGCAUUUACAAGUAUGUUUUGGGCCCAGAGUUAUUUGCUACCAGGGACAUAUAACUGGGAAUCUGGUGAAGAACUGAGCAAUUGUGGGUUGCUAAUCAUAAUUCCGCCAGACCCAAAAGGCCGGUCAUUAGACUCUUCAGGAAACAUUGUCCUCAGUCCUUUUGAGCCAGGUGGGGUUAAAGUGCCAGCUAGUUUGUACUGCCCAGGCACAGGGCAUAAAAGUGGUCGAGGAACUUAUGAACUGCUAAUCACUCUCUCACAAAACCUAAAAAAAGACUUACUGGAUUGUCCCAACAGACUUGCUUGAACAUUGAGGACUUUACCUACAACUUGCCGAGACAUUGGGUCUAAAAAGUGGGAGAGGAAUGUGAGGAAAUGAGGUCUGUGAUAAUUAAUAUAGCUAUGCCUCAUUUCCUGUGUCAAAUAUGUACUUUUUAUACCCAUAUCCAUAUACAUCCAAUUCGUCUAUUUGUUCAUUCUCCAUAACAUGUCCUUUGCUGCUCACCCAAUACUGUGUUUAAAUCCAACUUAAUAUUGUUAAUAUAUGCAAUUGUGUUAUGUUAUC